AUUGAACGCUGGCGGCAUGCCUAACACAUGCAAGUCGAACGGAAGUAGCAAUACUUUAGUGGCGGACGGGUGAGGAAUACAUAGGAAUCUGCCUUUUAGUGGGGGAUAACCCGGAGAAAUCCGGGCUAAUACCGCAUAAGCACCACGGUGGAAAGCAGGGGAUCGCAAGACCUUGCGCUAAUAGAUGAGCCUAUGUCGGAUUAGCUAGUUGGUAGGGUAAAGGCCUACCAAGGCGACGAUCCGUAGCUGGUCUGAGAGGACGACCAGCCACACUGGG
rnacentral:rRNA from 1 species